CCUACGGGUGGCAGCAGUGGGGAAUAUUGCACAAUGGGGGGAACCCUGAUGCAGCAACGCCGCGUGAGCGAAGAAGCCCCUCGGCUCGUAAAGCUCUGUCCUCAAGGAAGAAAAUGACGGUACCUGAAGAGGAAGCCCCGGCUAACUACGUGCCAGCAGCCGCGGUAAUACGUAGGGGGCUAGCGUUAUCCGGAAUUACUGGGGGUAAAGGGGGCGCAGGGGGCUUCUUAAGUCAGAGGUGAAAGGCUGCGGCUCAACCGUAGUAAGCCUUUGAAACUGGGAAGCUUGAGUGCAGGAGAGGAGAGUGGAAGUCCUAGUGUAGCGGUGAAAUGCGUAGAUAUUAGGAGGAACACCAGUGGCGAAGGCGGCCCGCUGGACUGUAACUGACAUUGAGGCACGAAAGCGUGGGGAGCAAACAGGAUUAGAUACCCCGGUAGUC
rnacentral:rRNA from 1 species